UUUCAGUUUCCGGGAUCCCCGAUGGCGAGACACAGUCAGAUACUCAGUACGCGGCGCCGCUUUGCUCUCCGCCUUCAGGCGCUAGACAUGCACAUACACCUCGCCAGUUAGCCAGCCUAAUUUCAGACGAGUCCAUAUCACACCAUUGGGUCAUCGCUCAACACCCUACCACCAUAGCCGAUCCUAUUAUCCAAGGUAUAUUAUAUUACAUAGUGUUCUCUGAUCCCUACUCCGUAUACGUUUAGUACCGAUUAAGUAAUUUAUCUGUCUUUAUUUAUUUAUUGUUUUUGUGGAGGAAGAUGAAGAAAUUGAUGGGAAUUCCAAAUCCGGACAAGAGGGAAAUGUUAACAUCAACAUCCAUGAUAAAAAUGUAACUCUUCUGAUAGUACAGUUAUUUCAAUAGGUUCACAUGCACAGUUUUACAUUUUAUGAAUGAAAAAUUAUUAAAUUGACUUUGAUAGAUGGUGUAAUGUCUAUUAUGAGGAUUUUCGAGUAUGUCAAGGAAGUCGAUUUUUAUCCCAAUGCCUCUAUUGCUUACCAUCUAAUUUAGAACGUAUGAACGGUCGCAUCGGUUGAAAUAAGUUUUCAGAGUUAAAAGUAUCGAAUAACUAUUUGAGACCAACAAUAAUUCAAGACACUUUAAAUGGUUUGACAACAUGACGGAUGGCAUUGACACCCAUCAUAAGUGACUUUGCAUCAAGGGUUAGGUCCGUACAGCCUGACAAGCCUGAAAGCACACUCGGAUUACAUGCUUUCAUGCGUUGAGCCGACUUGCUUGCUGUUAAUAUCCAUCUUAUUUGAGCUAUCACGCAGAAAUUUCAAUCUAUUGUGCUGAAUCUACUUCUUCAGAUAAUGUAGAAAAUGGGCCUCACCCUCCCCCAGGAGAGACAUGUGCCAAGUACAUUAUCA
rnacentral:lncRNA from 1 species